UGUUAAAUGACAUUUUUGCCCUAACCUUGAGUUUUUUUUUUUUUUUUUUUUUGACAUAUAUGUAAUGAUAGCCACCAAUGAAUAUGCAAGAAAGGACUUGGACAAGAAAAUGCUGACCAUAGAAAGGAGUGUUAUCUCCAACAUCCUUACACACAUGGUUGUGAAGAAAAAUGGGACAAAGUUUAGAAGCAAUACAGUAGUAUCUCAAAAGAGAGAAUUGGGUGAGAAAUCAAGGAACAAACAGGAACCUAUUUUUUCAUUGAGAGUUUCAAACACAAUUCUUGCUCAAUCUGUAGUUACAAUGCUUGGAUUGGGGUUCAUCGAUGCGGGGUAUAGUGGAGACUGGUCAAGGAUUGGAGUGAUUUCAAAGGAGACUGAAGAAUUGUUAAAGCUUGCAGCAUUUGUUGUAGUCCCUUUGUGCCUCUUUCUCAUAUUUUCUUUCUCUAAGAAACAAGAGGCUUGAAAUUUCGAACAUGAUUGUACCAUUUUCUAGGCAAAAAGAAGAAGAAUUUUGUGGUGGUUUAUUUUUUCUA